UGUCCACAUGUGUUUAUAUUGAAAUUGCAGAUUUUUCAACUUUUUGGGACGGGGCCAUUCGUGUCGCUUUGACACAUCUAGUUUAUAAUACUGGAGCCUCCUUUUAGCCAUCUAUAGUAUAGAGUUUUGCUUAUUGUUAAUGACUACUGUAACAUGCAGUUGUUUUAAACAUCCUUGGUACUUGGUGGAUAGUUGUCUCUAAGUUAUACAACAUCUCAUAUUUUUGUACUAUUGUAUUAACAACUUGUUGAAUCUCUAUGCAAUUGACCAUUUUUUAUUUUUCAUAUUACUGACUUUUGACUUUUGACUCCCAGUUCUGUGGUAGCCCUAUACUCUGUCAAUUACGAGCAACCAAACAAAGUAAAACCAAAUAUAUGAUCAGUGCAAUUUUAGGGGAAAUUUACUAAUGUC
rnacentral:lncRNA from 1 species